UGCCAGACUCCUACGGGAGGCAGCAGUGGGGAAUAUUGCACAAUGGGGGAAACCCUGAUGCAGCAACGCCGCGUGAGUGAAGAAGUAUUUCGGUAUGUAAAGCUCUAUCAGCAGGGAAGAAGAAAGACGGUACCUGACUAAGAAGCCCCGGCUAACUACGUGCCAGCAGCCGCGGUAAUACGUAGGGGGCAAGCGUUAUCCGGAUUUACUGGGUGUAAAGGGAGCGUAGACGGCAUAGCAAGUCUGAAGUGAAAGCCCGUGGCUCAACCCUGGGACUGCUCUGGAAACUGUAAAGCUGGAGUGCGGGAGGGGCAGGCGGAAUUCCUGGUGUAGCGGUGAAAUGCGUAGAUAUCAGGAGGAACACCGGCGGCGAAGGCGGCCUGCUGGACCGUAACUGACGUUGAGGCUCGAAAGCGUGGGGAGCAAACAGGAUUAGAUACCCGUGUAAA
rnacentral:rRNA from 1 species